UAGCCAGUAGAACGGAGAAUAUGGAACUAUUGUCCAUUGACCUAUUGAAUAAGGUGUCCAACAUGAUGGGACAUACCCAUUGAAGACUCUGGUAGGAGAAUGAAUCAGUCCAUCUGGCACAGGAUAGCAGCCAAUGGAGACAGCGAGCUAACAACUAGAGUGUCACCACUUAUUCCUUUUGGAAGCAAAAUAUUGCUUUAUAUCAAUGACAGUUAAAGAACUUUCUACUUAUAGAGCAAGUACCAA
rnacentral:lncRNA from 1 species